CCCACCCAACAAGCCUGGAGGUGAUUCUCAACAAAUACAAACAAAAAGAUAAACUAAGUCAGCCGGUCUUCCGGAAUGAGGGUCUUCAGGUAAUGACACUGAUCUAUCAACAGUGAGCAUUCUGAACAAUCUGGUAGGGGAGUGAUCUUCUCUUUCAACUGUCUUCUCAGCUCCAAGACUUCUCCUCCCAGAUACUCCUCUGACUUCUGUC
rnacentral:lncRNA from 1 species